rnacentral:rRNA from 1 species
CUCCUACGGGAGGCAGCAGUGGGGAAUUUUGGACAAUGGGGGCAACCCUGAUCCAGCCAUUCCGCGUGAGUGAAGAAGGCCUUCGGGUUGUAAAGCUCUUUUGUCCGGAGCGAAACGGUUACGGUGAAUAUCCGUGACUACUGACGGUACCGUAAGAAUAAGCACCGGCUAACUACGUGCCAGCAGCCGCGGUAAUACGUAGGGUGCAAGCGUUAAUCGGAAUUACUGGGCGUAAAGCGUGCGCAGGCGGUUUUGUAAGCCAGAUGUGAAAUCCCCGGGCUUAACCUGGGAAUUGCGUUUGAAACUACAAGACUAGAGUGUGUCAGAGGGGGGUAGAAUUCCACGUGUAGCAGUGAAAUGCGUAGAGAUGUGGAGGAAUACCGAUGGCGAAGGCAGCCCCCUGGGAUAACACUGACGCUCAUGCACGAAAGCGUGGGGAGCAAACAGGAUUA